GACGAACGCUGGCGGCGCGCUUAACACAUGCAAGUCGAACGGAAAGGCCUGCUUUCCCUUGUGGAUUGCGGGUACUCGAGUGGCGAACGGGUGAGUAACACGUGAGUGAUCUGCCCCCAACUUGGGUAUAAGCCUGGGAAACUGGGUCUAAUUCCCGAUAGGACUGCAGGGUGGUGCCUGUGGUGGAAAACGAUUUUCUAGUGGUUGGGGAUGAGCUCGCGGCCUAUCAGCUUGUUGGUGGGGUAAUGGCCUACCAAGGCGGCGACGGGUAGCCGGCCUGAGAGGGUGGACGGCGACAGUGGGACUGGGAUACGGCCCAGACUCCUACGGGAGGCAGCAGUGGGGAAUAUUGCACAAUGGGCGGAAGCCUGAUGCAGCGACGCCGCGUGGGGGAUGACGGCCUUCGGGUUGUAAACUCCUUUCGACCGCGAGGAAGCCACCUGGUUGGAAGGGUGGUGACGGUAGUGGUAGAAGAAGCACCGGCUAACUACGUG
rnacentral:rRNA from 1 species